rnacentral:rRNA from 1 species
UAGCGUAGGGUGCAAGCGUUAAUCGGAAUACUGGGCGUAAAGCGUGCGCUAGGCGGUUUUGUAAGAUCCUGUCGUGGAAAGCCCCGGGCUCAACCUGGGAAUUGCGAUGGAGACUGGCAAGGCUUGAAUCUGGCAGAGGGGGGUAGAAUUCCACGUGUAGCAGUGAAAUGCGUAGAGAUCAGGAGGAACACCCGGGGCGAAGGCGGCCCCUCUGGCGUCGACCCUGACGCGUGAGGCGCGAAAGCGUGGGGAGCGAACGGG